CAGUGGUGACGUGAGGCCCUCCAGAUUAGCUCUUCUAGUUACAUUCAGUGAAUAUGCUGAGCCCAGAAUUACUUCUCUCUGGUUUUGUUUGCUUCCAGCAACACUGCAACAGUGACACCUUCAUACAGUGGUCCUAAGGUGUGAAGAUCAGCACAGCAAGGCAACAACAGAAGGGAGCUUCAGCAGCUGUUCCAAAUCAGAUCUCAGGGCUACAUUGGUCGCACCAGUGAUGAAUUUGUACAUACCCGUCCAAUCAUUCAUUUCUUGUUUGAAGGAAGAAACUGCAGACGAAGAAACUGGAUUAUGUACAAGAAUCUUACGAACUGUACACUUUUGGGACAGAGGCCU